rnacentral:rRNA from 1 species
ACUGACUGCUAUCGGAUUGAUACUAAGCCAUGCGAGUCAUUGUAGUAAUACAAGGCAGACGGCUCAGUAACGCGUAGUCAACCUAACCUAUGGACGGGAAUAACCUCGGGAAACUGAGUAUAAUGCCCGAUAGAACAUUAUGCCUGGAACGGUUUAUGUUCCAAAUGAUUUAUCGCCGUAGGAUGGGACUGCGGCCUAUCAGUUUGUUGGUGAGGUAAUGGCCCACCAAGACUAUUACAGGUACGGGCUCUGAGAGGAGUGGCCCGGAGAUGGGUACUGAGACACGGACCCAGGCCCUAUGGGGCGCAGCAGGCGAGAAAACUUUGCAAUGUGCGAAAGCACGACAAGGUUAAUCCGAGUGGUUUCUGCUAAAGGAACCUUUUGUCAGUCCUAGAAACACUGAUGAAUAAGGGGUGGGCAAGUUCUGGUGUCAGCCGCCGCGGUAAAACCAGCACCUCAAGUGGUCAGGAUGAUUAUUGGGCCUAAAGCAUCCGUAGCCGGCUCUGUAAGUUUUCGGUUAAAUCUGUACGCUUAACGUACAGGCUGCCGGGAAUACUGUAGAGCUAGGGAGUGGGAGAGGUAGACAGUACUCGGUAGGAAGGGGUAAAAUCCUUUGAUCUAUUGAUGACCACCUGUGGCGAAGGCGGUCUACCAGAACACGUCCGACGGUGAGGGAUGAAAGCUGGGGGAGCAAAACCGGAUUAGAUACCCCGGGUAGUCCCAGCUGUAAACCAUGCAAACUCAGUGAUGCAUUGGCUUGUGGCCAAUGCAGUGCUGCAGGGAAGCCGUUAAGUUUGCCGCCUGGG